AGCAGCCGCGGUAAUUCCAGCUCCAAUAGCGUAUAUUAAAGUUGUUGCAGUUAAAAAGCUCGUAGUUGAAUUUCGGAGUUCUACCGUCGGUCGGGCUACCAAGUCUGUACUGGUGUGUAGAAUUCCUACCUUCUGGGGAACUAUCAUGUUAUUAAUUUAGCGUGGUGGGAAACCAGGACCUUUACCUUGAAAAAUUAGAGUGUUCAAAGCAGGCUUAUGUCUGAAUACAUUAGCAUGGAAUAAUAGAAUAGGACGGUGGUCCUGUUUUGUUGGUUUCUGAAUCACCGUAAUGAUUAAUAGGGGUAGUUGGGGGCAUUAGUAUUCAAUUGUCAGAGGUGAAAUUCUUGGAUUUAUUGAAGACUAACUUCUGCGAAAGCAUUUGCCAAGGAUGUUUUCAUUAAUCAAGAACGAAAGUUAGGGGAUCGAAGACGAUCAGAUACCGUCGUAGUCUUAACCAUAAACUAUGCCGACUAGGGAUCGGACGAUGUUAAAUUUUAUUGACUCG
rnacentral:rRNA from 1 species